rnacentral:rRNA from 1 species
ACAGGGAUUGCCCUAGUAACGGCGAGUGAAGCGGCAACAGCUCAAAUUUGAAAUCUGGCGUCUUUGGCGUCCGAGUUGUAAUUUGCAGAGGGCGCUUUGGCAUUGGCAGCGGUCCAAGUUCCUUGGAACAGGACGUCACAGAGGGUGAGAAUCCCGUACGUGGUCGCUAGCCUUUACCGUGUAAAGCCCCUUCGACGAGUCGAGUUGUUUGGGAAUGCAGCUCUAAAUGGGAGGUAAAUUUCUUCUAAAGCUAAAUACUGGCCAGAGACCGAUAGCGCACAAGUAGAGUGAUCGAAAGAUGAAAAGCACUUUGGAAAGAGAGUUAAAAAGCACGUGAAAUUGUUGAAAGGGAAGCGCUUGCAGCCAGACUUGCCUGUAGUUGCUCAUCCGGGUUUUUACCCGGUGCACUCUUCUAUAGGCAGGCCAGCAUCAGUUUGGGCGGUUGGAUAAAGGUCUCUGUCACGUACCUCCUCUCGGGGAGAACUUAUAGGGGAGACGAAAUGCAACCAGCCUGGACUGAGGUCCGCGCAUCUGCUAGGAUGCUGGCGUAAUGGCUGUAAGCGGCCCGUCUUGAAACACGGACCAAGGAGUCUAACAUCUAUGCGAGUGUUUGGGUGUCAAGCCCGAGCGCGUAAUGAAAGUGAACGGAGGUGGGAACCUUUCGGGGUGCACCAUCGACCGAUCCUGAUGUCUUCGGAUGGAUUUGAGUAAGAGCAUAGCUGUUGGGACCCGAAAGAUGGUGAACUAUGCUUGAAUAGGGUGAAGCCAGAGGAAACUCUGGUGGAGGCUCGCAGCGGUUCUGACGUGCAAAUCGAUCGUCAAAUUUGGGCAUAGGGGCGAAAGACUAAUCGAACUAUCUAGUAGCUGGGUCCUGC